CGGCACAUUACAAGUAGCAAAAGGUUUGGCCAUGUGGUAAAUAAAGUCAAAACUUCUGAAAUCACCUUUGGAUAUAGGUGCCUUUUAUUUUUCCCUUAUUUUUAGUCGGAUCGGGCUUUUUGUCAGAAUGGACACAAGCAACAACUACGGACAUGCGCAUUGCAAAUGGACGCCUUUUUGCAGACGUUGUGGACUGGAAAAAAUAUCACCGUGAUGAACAUAUAUCUCAAACCACGGCUGACCAAUCACAGCGAGCGUUACUGGUCUCAGAUCAUGAGUGUCCAAUCAGGAGGAACUUUACUGGUUACUCGGUACGACCCGCCAAUGAUUAAAGAUGUUACUUGAUGACAUGAAGUUCUGAAUCAAAGCAAUGUUGUUUUUUAU